GAUGAACGCUGGCGGCGUGCCUAAUACAUGCAAGUCGAGCGAACAGACGAGGGGCUUGCUCCUCUGACGUUAGCGGCGGACGGGUGAGUAACACGUGGAUAACCUACCUAUAAGACUGGGAUAACUUCGGGAAACCGGAGCUAAUACCGGAUAAUAUAUUGAACCGCAUGGUUCAAUAGUGAAAGACGGUUUUGCUGUCACUUAUAGAUGGAUCCGCGCCGCAUUAGCUAGUUGGUAAGGUAACGGCUUACCAAGGCAACGAUGCGUAGCCGACCUGAGAGGGUGAUCGGCCACACUGGAACUGAGACACGGUCCAGACUCCUACGGGAGGCAGCAGUAGGGAAUCUUCCGCAAUGGGCGAAAGCCUGACGGAGCAACGCCGCGUGAGUGAUGAAGGUCUUCGGAUCGUAAACCUCUGUUAUUAGGGAAGAACAAAUGUGUAAGUAACUAUGCACGUCUUGACGGUACCUAAUCAGAAAGCCACGGCUAACUACGUG
rnacentral:rRNA from 1 species